rnacentral:lncRNA from 1 species
UACUAUAUAAAAGGGGCUAAAUCCCUCUCUCCUAAGCCCUGCCACAUAGGCAUAAAUAUUGAGAACUAAUCAAUAUGCCAUGUCAUUCCGGACUGGGCUUGGGAUUAAAAAAAAUUCAACAAUUCGCAGCCCAUUAGACCCAUCUCCUAGCCCACUCCCGCGCCUCUCUUGAUUUUACGUAUUGGUCGGAGCCCAUUACUCAUCUCGGUUCGCAAUCCAGAGCUCUCUCUCUCUCUCUCUUUGAAAUCGUUAUCUUGAUCCCCUUUUCUUUGAAAUCGUUUCUCUCUAACCCUAAUCGUCGUCUCUCUCUCUUUGUCGAUUCUCUUUCUCCCCCCC